GAACCGCAUCAUAUCACUUUUG
rnacentral:snRNA from 1 species